GGAAAUUGUAGAUUAUUGUAUGAACAGAGGUAUUGCAUUAACUCAGGCUCGCUAUCUGGAGAAAGAAGAGAAAUUUCUUCCACCACCCAGCAUUCGGGUUGUAGUAACAGUAGAGCAAACGGAACAGGAGCUGGACACAGCUGCCUCGCUGAUCAGGGAAGCUGCUGAGUGUGUGCUGAACUGAGACCUACAAAGGUGGAUGUUUAUUGCUCACAGAACAGUGGACACCUGUUUACUACAGUGCAAUAAAUUGGCUUGCACUCCAAAGGUUCUUCAGCAUCAUCUAAUGGAACUGAAACCUUGACUUCCACUGAGUCAUUCCAGAAUAAAAAUAUGUCACAGAUGUGGAAAUACUAAAAAUACACUGUAUGUACAGAAUUCAGCUCUAUUUUUAUGCAUUGUUUAAACUGGAGAUCAUUGUUACGCUGGUAUUUUACAUUAUUUUCACUUCAGUUCUUAUAAGAGCAUAAUUCCUUUCCAUAAUUCUCUAAAUGUGUUAAAUAAAACAAGCUAUUUUUGAGAGUUUAUGUGUAAUGCUAAUGAGCAUGAAAAGAAUAUGAAAACUUAAAGAAUAUUCUUAAUUUAACUAUGCCACACUUAAUGAAAAUAUUGAAAAUAACAUCUUUUCCACACACAAAAGUUCCUGUUAUUGUUGAGCUGGAUAGUUAAAAUGCUAUUAUGGGAUCCUUCUUUUGAAUUAUGUACUUAUAUACCUUUUAUUACACUGGGUAUGUGGGAAUUUAUACACUAAUUUUUAAAAAAAGAUGUUUUGAUUUUUGAAAUUCUCAGAGGCAGUUCUUAAGCAGUUUGUCAAAUUUACAUCAAGCAUCACAUCUCAUGGCACUGCCUCAUACCAAUAUAAGUUGACCUCUGCAUUGAUUUGAUAAUACAUUUAGCCAUUAUGCUAGUGCCCCAGUCACUAAUGCUGUGCAGAUAUGGAAGUUAUAAGAGAAACUUGGAAUUAUCAUUAAUUAAUGGAUUGGGCACACAGGAAUUUCUGCAGGGAGAUACCCUCUGCAUGGAAAGUAAGCAAGAUCAGCAUGUGUGAUUUGUCUGUGUACUAAAGCUCACACAGAGAUCUGAUGCCUUCAUUUGUAUGAGUACAUGAUCUUUCACCACACACUGAAAAUUCAUUUG